GACGAACGCUGGCGGCGCGCCUAACACAUGCAAGUCGAACGAGCGAGAGAGAGCUUGCUUUCUCGAGCGAGUGGCGAACGGGUGAGUAACGCGUGAGGAACCUGCCUCAAAGAGGGGGACAACAGUUGGAAACGACUGCUAAUACCGCAUAAGCCCACGGCUCGGCAUCGAGCAGAGGGAAAAGGAGCAAUCCGCUUUGAGAUGGCCUCGCGUCCGAUUAGCUAGUUGGUGAGGUAAUGGCCCACCAAGGCAACGAUCGGUAGCCGGACUGAGAGGUUGAACGGCCACAUUGGGACUGAGACACGGCCCAGACUCCUACGGGAGGCAGCAGUGGGGAAUAUUGCACAAUGGGGGAAACCCUGAUGCAGCGACGCCGCGUGGAGGAAGAAGGGUCCUUUCGGGAAUUUGGUAAAAACUCCCUGUUGUUGAGGAAGAUAAAUGACGGUACUCAAACAAGGAAAGUGACCGGCUAAACUACGUG
rnacentral:rRNA from 1 species